rnacentral:rRNA from 1 species
GACGAACGCUGGCGGCGUGCCUAAUACAUGCAAGUAGAACGCACAGUUUAUACCGUAGCUUGCUACACCAUAGACUGUGAGUUGCGAACGGGUGAGUAACGCGUAGGUAACCUGCCUGGUAGCGGGGGAUAACUAUUGGAAACGAUAGCUAAUACCGCAUAAUAUUGAUUAUUGCAUGAUAAUUAAUUGAAAGGUGCAAUUGCACCACUACCAGAUGGACCUGCGUUGUAUUAGCUAGUAGGUGAGGUAACGGCUCACCUAGGCGACGAUACAUAGCCGACCUGGGAGGGUGAUCGGCCACACUGGGACUGGGACACGGCCCAGACUCCUACGGGAGGCAGCAGUAGGGAAUCUUCGGCAAUGGACGAAAGUCUGACCGAGCAACGCCGCGUGAGUGAAGAAGGUUUUCGGAUCGUAAAGAUCUGUUGUAAGAGAAGAACGGGUGUGAGAGUGGAAAGUUCACGCUGUGACGGUAUCUUACCAGAAAGGGACGGCUAACUACGUC